rnacentral:lncRNA from 1 species
GUAGGACAUAUAGCUAAUGUGUGUAAUCACAAAAAAUCUGAAAUUAAAAGAAAGAUUAGAAAGAUUUGGGUUCCAAAAGAAACCAAUGUUACUAACGACCCAAGAAAACUUGGGUACCUAAGAUUGUAUGAUUUUCUUGUGUAGGAGUGUCUUGCAGCCAAGGUCGACAAAAACUGUUGGUACUUGGAUAGUGGCUGCUCAAGACAUAUGACGGGUGACAAG